AGAGUUUGAUCCUGGCUCAGGAUGAACGCUAGCGACAGGCCUAACACAUGCAAGUCGAGGGGCAGCGGGGAGGCAGCAAUGCCUCCGCCGGCGACCGGCGCACGGGUGAGUAACACGUAUGCAACCUGCCCGGCCCAGGGGAAUAAGCGGCGGAAACGCCGUCUAAUUCCGCGUACACCUCCCAGCGGGCAUCCGCGGGGAGGGAAAGGAGGCGACUCCGGGACCGGAUGGGCAUGCGGCGCAUUAGCUAGUUGGCGGGGCAACGGCCCACCAAGGCUGCGAUGCGUAGGGGUUCUGAGAGGAAGGCCCCCCACAUUGGAACUGAGACACGGUCCAAACUCCUACGGGAGGCAGCAGUGAGGAAUAUUGGUCAAUGGGCGAGAGCCUGAACCAGCCAAGUCGCGUGAGGGAAGACGGCCCUACGGGUUGUAAACCUCUUUUGCCGGGGAGCAAUGGCCGACACGCGUGUCGGCAGGGAGAGUACCCGGAGAAAAAGCAUCGGCUAACUCCGUGCCAGCAGCCGCGGUAAUACGGAGGAUGCGAGCGUUAUCCGGAUUUAUUGGGUUUAAAGGGUGCGUAGGCGGACUGGAAAGUCAGCGGUAAAAUCGAGAGGCUCAACCUCUUUCCGCCGUUGAAACUGUCGGUCUUGAGUGGGCGAGAAGUAUGCGGAAUGCGUGGUGUAGCGGUGAAAUGCAUAGAUAUCACGCAGAACUCCGAUUGCGAAGGCAGCAUACCGGCGCCCGACUGACGCUGAGGCACGAAAGCGUGGGUAUCGAACAGGAUUGGAUACCCUGGUAGUCCACGCAGUAAACGAUGAAUACUAAUUGUCCGGUCAGAAUGAUGACUGGGUGAUACAGCGAAAGCGUUAAGUAUUCCACCUGGGGAGUACGCCGGCAACGGUGAAACUCAAAGGAAUUGACGGGGGCCCGCACAAGCGGAGGAACAUGUGGUUUAAUUCGAUGAUACGCGAGGAACCUUACCCGGGCUCAAACGUAGAAUGACAGACGGUGAAAGCCGUUCUCCCUUCGGGGCAGUCUACGAGGUGCUGCAUGGUUGUCGUCAGCUCGUGCCGUGAGGUGUCGGCUUAAGUGCCAUAACGAGCGCAACCCCCAUCUACAGUUGCUAACAGGUAAAGCUGAGGACUCUGUGGAGACUGCCGGCGCAAGCUGUGAGGAAGGCGGGGAUGACGUCAAAUCAGCACGGCCCUUACGUCCGGGGCGACACACGUGUUACAAUGGCAGGUACAGCGGGAAGCCAUAUGGCGACAUAGAGCGGAACCCGAAAACCUGUCUCAGUUCGGAUUGGAGUCUGCAACUCGACUCCAUGAAGCUGGAUUCGCUAGUAAUCGCGCAUCAGCCACGGCGCGGUGAAUACGUUCCCGGGCCUUGUACACACCGCCCGUCA
rnacentral:rRNA from 1 species